rnacentral:rRNA from 1 species
AACGAACGCUGGCGGCAGGCCUAACACAUGCAAGUCGAACGAUGUAGCAAUACAUAGUGGCGCACGGGUGAGUAACGCGUGGGAAUGUACCUUUUGGUGGGGAAUAACUCCGGGAAACUGGAGCUAAUACCGCAUACGCCCUUCGGGGGAAAGAUUUAUCGCGAAAAGAUCAGCCCGCGUGAGAUUAGAUAGUUGGUGGGGUAAUGGACUACCAAGUCUACGACCUCUAGAUGGUCUUAGAGGAUGACCAGCCACACUGGAACUGAGACACGGUCCAGACUCCUACGGGAGGCAGCAGUGGGGAAUAUUGGGCAAUGGGCGCAAGCCAGACCCAGCCAUGCCGCGUGAGUGAUGAAGGCUCUAGGGUUGUAAAGCUCUUUCGCCGUUGAAGAUAAUGACGGUAGUCGGAGAAGAAGCCCCGGCUAACUUCGUGCCAGCAGCCGCCGUAA